CCUACGGGCGGCUGCAGUGGGGAAUAUUGCACAAUGGGCGCAAGCCUGAUGCAGCCAUGCCGCGUGUGUGAAGAGGGCCUUCGGGUUGUAAAGCACUUUCAGCGGGGAGGAAGGCGUUAAGGUUAAUAACCUUGUCGAUUGACGUUACCCGCAGAAGAAGCACCGGCUAACUCCGUGCCAGCAGCCGCGGUAAUACGGAGGGUGCAAGCGUUAAUCGGAAUUACUGGGCGUAAAGCGCACGCAGGCGGUCUGUCAAGUCGGAUGUGAAAUCCCCGGGCUCAACCUGGGAACUGCAUUCGAAACUGGCAGGCUAGAGUCUUGUAGAGGGGGGUAGAAUUCCAGGUGUAGCGGUGAAAUGCGUAGAGAUCUGGAGGAAUACCGGUGGCGAAGGCGGCCCCCUGGACAAAGACUGACGCUCAGGUGCGAAAGCGUGGGGAGCAAACAGGAUUAGAUACCCCGGUAGUC
rnacentral:rRNA from 1 species